AACACGCCCCUGUAUGUGUGUAGCCGCUAACAGUGUGGGGCACGCCUGGGGCCGGGCCUGCUGCACGUAACCUCUGGUGCUGCCUGUGCUGAGCUCAGCUAGCCCCGGGGGUCCUGGGCUUGCCCCUGCCCCAGCCCCUGGCUGGAAGUGCAGCAGCCAGAGAUAGGGAUCAGCAUUUCCCAUGUAGGCUAAGUGCACCUGCAAUGUAGUUUUAGCCAUGUGGGUCCCAGCCCAGGAUAUUAGAGAAAGGAAGUAGGUGUGACCUGAUACAUAAGACAGGCUGCAGCAUACAGCCCCUGGGAUCUGCCCCUCCUACAUCCACUCACUCUCUUCUAGUAGGAGAAUUGUAUUUCAAAAGGCCAGGACUGAGCACUGGAAGCCAGCACAACGGAAGUCUCAUUUUUCAUAUGGAGUCAACAUGAGGAUGUGAAGAUAACUUGGAGCCCGGGCACCAGGGAGGGAAUCACAGGGGAUCAUCCUCACUCCGGGGACAAAAACAAUGAAUAUUGGGAACUAUAAGGAGAAAGACAUUUUUGUGAUCCAUUCAUUGAGGGAAGCCCUUGAAGAACAGUGUUGUUCAUGAAUACUUGGAUCCUAGUUGACAGAAAACCAACCAGCCUUGCAAGAGAUUGGAUCUGUUGCAGUACUUUAUUUAAAGGAAAGGUCACUAUCGAUAAAUGUAGACCAAGAUUUGCAUCUUAUGUUUUUGUUUUGUAUGUAACCUAUCAUUCCUAUUAUUUUUACUCACUAUCUCUUACAUCUUAAUAUUUGAUAAUAAACAUAUGAUUGCUUCA